rnacentral:rRNA from 1 species
UACAGAGGGUGCGAGCGUUAUUCGGAAUUAUUGGGCGUAAAGCGUGUGUAGGCGGCUAUCUAAGUCGGGUGUGAAAGCCCCGGGCUCAACCUGGGAAUUGCAUUCGAGACUGAAUAGCUAGAGUACGGUAGAGGGAAGUGGAAUUUCCGGUGUAGCGGUGAAAUGCGUAGAUAUCGGAAGGAACACCAGUGGCGAAAGCGACUUCCUGGACCAGUACCGACGUUCAGGCACGAAAGCGUGGGGAGCAAACAGG